GACGAAUUACAUCUGAUUCCAGUAGGUUGAUAGGGAACUAAACACUACCACAUAAAGUAAGAAAAUCACUAUAUAAUCAUAUAGAGGAAACAUUAUUUUAGGUAAUUGUCCCACUCCACCCCUACCCAAGCCAUAUCAAUCCAAUAAGCCUCCAGUUCCAUUUUGUUUGAGAUUGCUUUGUGAUAUUGAAAAAUAUACAGCUGUAAAUAAACAGAAUAGUUCUAGCAAAGGAGCACAAUGAUGUAUU